UACGAGUGCCCCAAGCGUUAUCCGGAAUUAUUGGGCGUAAAGAGCUCGUAGGCGGUCUGUUGCGUCGGCUGUGAAAACCCGAGGCCCAACCUCGGGCCUGCAGCCGAUACGGGCAGACUAGAGUUCGGCAGGGGAGACUGGAAUUCCUGGUGUAGCGGUGAAAUGCGCAGAUAUCAGGAGGAACACCGAUGGCGAAGGCAGGUCUCUGGGCAUUAACUGACGCUGAGGAGCGAAAGCAUGGGGAGCGAACAGG
rnacentral:rRNA from 1 species